UACGUAGGGUGCAAGCGUUAAUCGGAAUUACUGGGCGUAAAGCGUACGCAGGCGGCUUUGCAAGACAGGUGUGAAAUCCCCGGGCCUAACCUGGGAACUGCAUUUGUGACUGCAUGGCUAGAGUUUGUCAGAGGGGGGUGGAAUUCCACGUGUAGCAGUGAAAUGCGUAGAUAUGUGGAGGAACACCGAUGGCGAAGGCAGCCCCCUGGGAUGUGACUGACGCUCAUGUACGAAAGCGUGUGGAGCAAACAGG
rnacentral:rRNA from 1 species